CCCUUAGAUGUUCUGGGCCGCACGCGUGCUACACUGAGUGGAUCAGCGGGUCAGGUUGCGCGAAAGCGUUUCCUAAUCUUGAAAUCCGCUCGUGAUGGGGAUUGACGGUUGCAAUUUUCUGUCAUGAACGAGGAAUACCUUGUAAGCGCGAGUCAUCAUCCCGCGCUGAAUACGUCCCUGCCCUUUGUACACACCGCCCGUCGCUCCUACCGAUUGAGUGGUCCGGUGGGGCUUUGGGAUCUGAGCGGAAAGAGCGUUUCGCUCGUUCUGCCCGGAAAACUCAGUCGAACCUUAUCAUUUAGAGGAAGGAGAAGUCGUAACA
rnacentral:rRNA from 1 species